AUGGGAUUUGGGGGUAAAGAGCCAACAACCCUAGUCAAUCCCCGAGGGCGCCUCAGCGGGCACCGAGGAGGAGCUACAGAAAGGGGACAUUCCUGCGGCACCUCCCGCUCCUUGGCUCGGGGUGCUGGGGCCCGCAGUGUGGUUCCCUGGCCUGGGUGCGGGGCCUGCAUCGCGGCCUGGUUUACAAACCCUUCGGGGCCUCUCCUUUUGCUAGAGGUGCGCAGCUCUGGGAGCCUGGAGGGUUGCGGGGGAGGGUCCGCACGUGCAGUUUUAGAGCCGAUCGUGCCUCCCGGCCCACCUGUCCCCCACGACCAGCCGCCACCUCGGGCAGAGACAAGCAAUAGCGCUUUGCAAAGCGCCCAAAGUGAAAGGAAUGUGAUUGCGCUCCCAAGAGGGAGCGGGACGCGGAUGCUGUUUAGGAAGGGCGCCGCCUACUGGUCCCCGGGCGCCACGCGGUUGGAAGAGAGGAGGAGUUUAGGCAAGACCUGGCCUUGCCCCCCACCCCUCAGCGGGAUCUUAGUUCUGCACCCCCGAAGCUGUCCCGCCAGCCGCACCCGCUGCGUCUCGGGUCCCACGACCCAGACAGCACUGACGAUUUGGAAAGCGGGGCCCGCGACUAGAAUAGUUUUAACCCUACCGAUUCCCGCCACGGUUUGGCCACGGGCUCGGAAACCAGGCAGCAGGCAAUUGAGAAAUAUGCCUACGGCUACGGCUGGAGCAAGUGUGCGGGUGGGGCCGGUGCUCCGCUCCGCUUCAGGUGCGCGCUUCCGCUUCUGCGGGCCUCGCCACGCCAGGGUCCCGGAACCCGCGCAGUUUUGGUUCACCUGCGGUUUCGGGUGCCUGGGGUCUACCACGAGACCGCACCCCCCAAAACCGUUUCCGUCUUUUGGUCUAUGGGUUGUACAGACACAGGAAAAGGGAAAACAAAACUACCUGCGCAUUCUUAAAACCCUCCUAUUUCGAAAGCGUCUUAAUGAGGUGGGCGCUGCAAAGCAAGAGGUGCACACCUGGGCGUCCCCUUUCACCCCUCCAGAAGCGCUAACCGCUGGUAUCAACUGGUCUUCCCGUCUUGCAGAGAUACUGGGGGGAAAAGCGGAGGCGCGUCCUCGGCCUGGUUCUUGGAAUCUCUUUCCACUCGGGCCAUCGAAUAGGAAAAUCGGGCCUGACUGA
rnacentral:lncRNA from 1 species